rnacentral:tRNA from 1 species
AGUCUUAUAGUGUAAUUGCACAUAGAUUUGCAAAAUCUAAAGAAUAUUUAUAUUAAGACUU